UACGGAGGGUGCGAGCGUUGUCCGGAAUCAUUGGGCGUAAAGGGCGCGUAGGUGGCCCGGUCAGUUCGUGGUGAAAGCGCGGGGCUCAACCCUGCGUCGGCCAUGAAUACUGCCGCGGCUCGAGCACUGUAGAGGCAGGCGGAAUUCCGGGUGUACGCGGUGGAAUGCGUAGAGAUCCGGAAGAACACCGGUGGCGAAGGCGGCCUGCUGGGCAGUUAGCUGACACUGAGGCGCGACAGCGUGGGGAGCAAACAGG
rnacentral:rRNA from 1 species